CCUGGGUGCUCAGAGAUCAAGGUUGCUGCUGCUGUCUGUAGCCUUCGCGCUCGCCUCUCAGCCCUUGACAGUGUCUGUGAGUCAGAGCACAGCCAGACCUCAGUGUCCUGUCCCCGCUGAACUGCAAGGGACCAGAAAACUGAGAGGAAAAUGGGAUACUCUCAGCCUUAUUUCGCACCAAUGCAGUGAGCACUCGAUGCCAGGUGCUCCUCGGAGGAGCUGGGUGUGGAGGACCUGUAUCAAAGUCUCCUGGACAAUUUGAUUUGAAAAACGUGCUUGGUGAAACCCGGUGACCCCGUCCAGUUGGUCCGGUCUGCGGAAGAGGGAGGUAUUGGGGUUACGUAACUCUGUGGUGUGAGUCUCCACUCAGCCCAGCUUCUCUUGCUGCCUCCAGGGCCCCACCUGAGGUCUGCUUCCAGGCCGGGGAAUACGUUCACUGGAGAAGAGAAGGCUUUUCCAGCAGCCGAGACAAGGAAACCCUCUAAAAGACCAGGCGGUGUCCAGAGACAAAUAAAAGCACUUAACCAAGGAUCGCAGGUUUCCCUGUGGCCCCGGUGAGGGGCUGCUGAUCCAUUUAUUCUGCAAACAGCUUUGAACUAGACCACGUCUCAGUCAUCUCUUCGCUUACUUCCCGGGAUCUCGCUCAGACGUACAGGUAACAUAAUGUGCCCUUCAUAACUGAGGAGACAAGCAGCAAAGAAGUUGUGAUUCCUUUCAUGGUCACAUAGUUAGUGGCUGGGUGCAUACAAGGUUUAAAUCCAAGCUUUCGAACAGCGGGAUGCAAAGACGUCCCCUGAAACCCAAAAGGUCUCGUGAAAUUUCAUUUAAGAGCUCACUUACCAUUUGUUGAAGGGGAUGAUGAUAGUGUUCUUGGAAGUAUGACAAAUAA